rnacentral:rRNA from 1 species
UACGGAGGGUGCGAGCGUUGUCCGGAAUCAUUGGGCGUAAAGGGCGCGUAGGUGGCGGGACAAGCGUGCGGUGAAAGCCUGGGGCUCAACCCCGGGUCGGCCGUGCGAACUGUUUUGCUUGAGCACUGUAGAGGCAGGCGGAAUUCCGGGUGUAGCGGUGGAAUGCGUAGAGAUCCGGAAGAACACCGGUGGCGAAGGCGGCAUCCUGGACCGGCAUUGACGCUGAGGCGCGAAAGCCAGGGGAGCAAACGGG